UACGUAGGGGGCUAGCGUUGUCCGGAUUUAUUGGGCGUAAAGAGCGUGUAGGCGGCCAUUUAGGUCCGGUGUGAAAACUCGAGGCUUAACCUCGAGAUGUCAUCGGAAACCAUUUGGCUAGAGUCCGGAAGGGGAGAGUGGAAUUCCUGGUGUAGCGGUGAAAUGCGCAGAUAUCAGGAAGAACACCAAUGGCGAAAGCAGCUCUCUGGGACGGUACUGACGCUGAGACGCGAAAGCGUGGGGAGCGAACAGG
rnacentral:rRNA from 1 species